CGACACUCCAGUCUAGUGUCUUCAUCAGGGGUGAUAAAGACACCCCUGAUGAAGACACUAGACUGGAGUGUCG